CCUACGGGGGGCAGCAGUGGGGAAUAUUGCACAAUGGGCGCAAGCCUGAUGCAGCCAUGCCGCGUGUGUGAAGAAGGCCUUCGGGUUGUAAAGCACUUUCAGCGAGGAGGAAGGGUUCGGUGUUAAUAGCACCGUUCAUUGACGUUACUCGCAGAAGAAGCACCGGCUAACUCCGUGCCAGCAGCCGCGGUAAUACGGAGGGUGCAAGCGUUAAUCGGAAUUACUGGGCGUAAAGCGCACGCAGGCGGUUUUUUGAGUCGGAUGAGAAAGCCCCGGGCUUAACGUGGAAACGGCAUUGGAAACUGGCAAGCUAGGGUCUGGUAGAGGGGGUAGAAUUCCAGGUGUAGCGGUGAAAUGCGUAGAGAUCUGGAGGAAUACCGGUGGCGAAGGCGGCCCCCUGGACAAAGACUGACGCUCAGGUGCGAAAGCGUGGGGAGCAAGCAGGAUUAGAUACCCGAGUAGUC
rnacentral:rRNA from 1 species